rnacentral:rRNA from 1 species
CAGCCGCCGCGGGAAUACGAAGGGGGCUAGCGUUGUUCGGAUUUACUGGGCGUAAAGGGCGCGUAGGCGGACUGAUAAGUCAGGGGUGAAAUCCCAAGGCUCAACCUUGGAACUGCCUUUGAUACUGUUUGUCUUGAGUUCGAGAGAGGUAAGUGGAACUGCGAGUGUAGAGGUGAAAUUCGUAGAUAUUCGCAAGAACACCAGUGGCGAAGGCGGCUUACUGGCUCGAAACUGACGCUGAGGUGCGAAAGUGUGGGGAGCAAACAGGAUUAGAUACCCCAGUAGUCCCUGUCUCUUAUAA